rnacentral:rRNA from 1 species
UACGGGGGGGGCAAGCGUUGUUCGGAAUUACUGGGCGUAAAGGGCUCGUAGGCGGCCAACUAAGUCAGACGUGAAAUCCCCAGGCUCAACCUGGGAACUGCGUCUGAUACUGGAUGGCUUGAAUCCGGGAGAGGGAUGCAGAAUUCCGGGUGUAGCGGUGAAAUGCGUAGAUAUCUGGAGGAAUACCGGUGGCGAAGGCGGCAUCCUGGACCGGCAUUGACGCUGAGGAGCGAAAGCUAGGGGAGCAAACGGG